rnacentral:misc_RNA from 1 species
UAAACAUUGAUAGCACCCUACACCCGCUAUCCGCCAGGGUACUACGAGCAUUAGCUUGAAACCCAAAGGACUUGACGGUGCUUAAGAUCCACCUAGAGGAGCCUGUUCUAGAACCGAUAACCCCCGUUCAACCUCACCCUCCCUUGUCUUUCCCGCCUAUAUACCGCCGUCGUCAGCUUACCCUAUGAAGGACUAAUAGUAAGCAAAAUUGGUAAAACCUAAAACGUCAGGUCGAGGUGUAGCGCAUGAGAGGGGAAGAAAUGGGCUACAUUCACUAAUAUAGUGAAUACGAAUGAUGCACUGAAACGUUCAUCCGAAGGAGGAUUUAGCAGUAAGCAGAAAAUAGAGCGUCCUGCUGAAACCGGCCCUAAAGCGCGCACACACCGCCCGUCACCCUCCCCUAACUCAACACCAUUAAUAAUUAAUACCCCACAUCUGUUAAGGGGAGGCAAGUCGUAACAUGGUAAGUGUACCGGAAGGUGCACUUGGAAAAAUCAGAGCGUAGCUAAAAUAGAAAAGCAUCUCCCUUACACCGAGAAGUUACCCGUGCAAACCGGGUCGCCCUGAUACCAAACAGCUAGCCCCACCCCAUAAAACAAAAUUACCAACAUCAAUAACCCCAGAUGCACUACUAAAUCAACCAACCAAACCAUUUUACCCCCUCAGUACGGGAGACAGAAAAGGAACCAAUGGAGCUAUAGAAAAAGUACCGCAAGGGAACGCUGAAAGAGAAAUGAAACAACCCAGUAAAGUUAAAAAAAGCAGAGACUAAAACUCGUACCUUUUGCAUCAUGAUUUAGCCAGAAAACCUCAAGCAAAGAGCACUAUAGUUUGACACCCCGAAACUAAGUGAGCUACUCCAAGACAGCCUGUCUUAGGGCUAACCCGUCUCUGUGGCAAAAGAGUGGGAUGAGCUUCGAGUAGAGGUGACAGACCUACCGAACUUAGUAAUAGCUGGUUGCCUAGAAAAUGAAUAUUAGUUCAGCCUCCCGGCUUCUCCCCUCCCCCAGUCCUUAACCCCUUCGUCACCUAGAGAAACCGAGAGAGUUAUUCAAAGGAGGUACAGCCCCUUUGAAACAAGAUACAACUUUUUAAGGGGGGUAAAGAUCAUAAUUUUACUAAGGAUGUGUGUUUUAGUGGGCCUAAAAGCAGCCACCUAAGCAGAAAGCGUUAAAGCUCAAACAUUCCAAUUUUCCUAUAAUCCUGAUAUCCUAAUCUUACCCCCCUUUUUCCUACUAGGCCAUUCCAUGCAUACAUGGAAGCACUAAUGCUAAUAUGAGUAAUAAGAGAGGAGUAACCUCUCUCCUAGCACGCACAUACAUCGGAACGGAUAAUCCACCGAACAUUAAUCGGCCCCAAACAAAGAGGGCAAUGAACCAUCAACUAACAACCAGAAAACCCCCCAAAAAAUAACCGUUAAGCCCACACUGGCGUGCUCACAAGGAAAGACCCAAAGAAAAAGAAGGAACUCGGCAAACACCAUAGGCCUCGCCUGUUUACCAAAAACACCGCCUCUUGUAAACUAAAAAUAAGAGGUCCCGCCUGCCCAGUGACAUUUAGUUAAACGGCCGCGGUAUUUUGACCGUGCAAAGGUAGCGCAAUCACUUGUCUUUUAAAUGAAGACCCGUAUGAAUGGCAUAACGAGGGCCUAACUGUCUCCUUUUUCAAGUCAAUGAAAUUGAUCUCCCCGUGCAGAAGCGGGAAUAUAACCAUAAGACGAGAAGACCCUAUGGAGCUUUAGACACCAAAACAGACUUUGUUAAACACCUCUAGAUACUGAACAUAGCCAAAAGGACCCUGUUUAAAUGUCUUUGGUUGGGGCGACCGCGGGGAAUGCAAAUCCCCCAUGUGGACCGGGAGAACCUCUCCUACAGCCAAGAGCUACAACUCUAAGCAAUAAAAUCUUUAACCAAAAGAUCCGGUAAAACCGAUCAACGGACCGAGUUACCCUAGGGAUAACAGCGCAAUCCCCUUCUAGAGCCCAUAUCGACAAGGGGGUUUACGACCUCGAUGUUGGAUCAGGACAUCCUAAUGGUGCAGCCGCUAUUAAGGGUUCGUUUGUUCAACGAUUAAAGUCCU